CAGCCGUAAACUAUGCUCGCUAGGUGUCAGGGACGGUGCGACCGUUUCUGGUGCCGCAGGGAAGCCGUGAAGCGAGCCACCUGGGAAGUACGGUCGCAAGGCUGAAACUUAAAGGAAUUGGCGGGGGAGCACCACAACGGGUGGAGCCAGCGGUCUAAUUGGACUCAACGCCGGGAAGCUCACCGGAUAAGACAGCGGAAUGAUUGCCGGGCUGAAGACCCUGCAUGACCAGCUGAGAGGUGGUGCAUGGCGUAGUCGUGU
rnacentral:rRNA from 1 species